rnacentral:rRNA from 1 species
AUUGAACGCUGGCGGCAGGCUUAACACAUGCAAGUCGAGCGGGGGAAGGUAGCUUGCUACCGGACCUAGCGGCGGACGGGUGAGUAAUGCUUAGGAAUCUGCCUAUUAGUGGGGGACAACAUCUCGAAAGGGAUGCUAAUACCGCAUACGUCCUACGGGAGAAAGCAGGGGAUCUUCGGACCUUGCGCUAAUAGAUGAGCCUAAGUCGGAUUAGCUAGUUGGUGGGGUAAAGGCCUACCAAGGCGACGAUCUGUAGCGGGUCUGAGAGGAUGGUCGGCCACACUGGGACUGGGACACGGCCCAGACUCCUAAGGGGGGCAGCAGUGGGGAAUAUUGGACAAUGGGGGGAACCCUGAUCCAGCCAUGCCGCGUGUGUGAAGAAGGCCUUAUGGUUGUAAAGCACUUUAAGCGAGGAGGAGGCUACUUUAGUUAAUACCUAGAGAUAGUGGACGUUACUCGCAGAAUAAGCACCGGCUAACUCUGUGCCAGCCGCCGCCGUAA